rnacentral:rRNA from 1 species
CCUACGGGAGGCAGCAGUGGGGAAUAUUGCACAAUGGGGGAAACCUUGAUGGAGCAACGCCGCGUGAGUGAAGAAGGUUUUCGGAUUGUAAAGCUCUGUUAGAAGGGAAGAGGAAGGACGGUACGUGCAGAGGAAGACACGGCUAACUACGUGCAAGCAGCCGCGGCAAAACGUAGGUUGCAAGCGUUGUUCGGAAUAACUGGGCGUAAAGGAUGCGUAGGCGGUUAAACAAGUUAUAUGUUAAAUAGAUGGGGUUAACUUGUAGAAAGCAUAUAAUACUGUGUAACUAGAGUGAAGGAGAGGUAAGUGGAAUUCCAAGUGAAGCGGUGAAAUGCGUAGAGAUUAGGAAGAACACCAGAGGCGAAGGCGGCUUACUGGGCUUUUACUGACGCUGAGGCAUGAGAGCAUGGGGAGCAAACAGGAUUAGAUACCCGAGUAGUC